UUCAGAGUUCCUCUUGAAUUCAUAUCAGAACCUGCAGAAAUAUCAGAGAAGGGGAGUUUCCUUAAAGUCUUUACCUGAACAACGCUGGUCACUGUUUGAUACCAUAAAAGAAACAUUUUUUGCACCAUCCAAAGUCUAUUAGAAAGCUGUGGAAUUUUCUGCAAUCUGACUGCCCAUGCAGGUUCUAAGGGACCCUAGACAAAGGAUAUUGUAUCUAUCAACAUUUUGUGUUUUCUAUGCACAGUUUUUUCCCUGGAUCUUAUUGAGCUGAUUGAGAUAACUGUAUGAUCCUAAAAAAGAAUGAGAAUGUUUUCUCUGUUGUAAUGAAUGAGAUAGAAAUAAAGGAAGGAGUAUGGGCUCAUGAGCUUGGAAUCAUUUCUUCUUGGCAGGAGGUGGGCUGUCUGGUACUAGCAGUCAUCAGAGGGUUUUUCCCGAAAGGCUCUGGUGAUCAGUGUGACUUGGGAAUUUAGAGGAUAGCAUUUCCUCUGUUCUCCUAGAUAAGAAGCUUUCUUUGUAUGGAUUUGUCUGCUGUAUAUUUUUUAUGUGAGAGAUGUGAUCUGAAUGUCUGUAUAGCAAAUAAAGUAGCUAUCCACAUGCACUGAAUUCACAAGAAGUACUGAAACAAGUUUUUAAAGAGA